CCCUUAGAUGUUCGGGGCCGCACGCGCGCUACACUGAAGGAAUCAGCACGUCUUUCUCCUUGUCCGAAAGGACUGGGUAACCCGCUGAACCUCCUUCGUGCUAGGGAUUGGGGCUUGUAUUUCUUCCCCAUGAACGAGGAAUUCCCAGUAAGCGCGAGUCAUAAGCUCGCGUUGAUUACGUCCCUGCCCUUUGUACACACCGCCCGUCGCUACUACCGAUUGGAUGGUUUAGUGAGAUCCUCGGAUUGGUCCCGGAGCGGCCUCUGGUCGUGCCGGAGUGCCGAAAAGAAUGUCGAACUUGAUCAUCUAGAGGAAGUAAAAGUCGUAACA
rnacentral:rRNA from 1 species